AUAAUAUGCUCCUGUAAGUCGCUCUAGAUAAGAGCGUCUGCUAAAUGACUAAAA
rfam:Salmo salar isolate Sally breed double haploid chromosome ssa04, whole genome shotgun sequence.